GAUGAAGAACGCAGCGAAAUGCGAUAAGUAAUGUGAAUUGCAGAAUUCAGUGAAUCAUCGAAUCUUUGAACGCACAUUGCGCCCCUUGGUAUUCCGAGGGGCAUGCCUGUUCGAGCGUCAUUAUAACCCCUCAAGCUCAGCUUGGUGUUGGGGCCUGCUGCACUGGCAGCCCUUAAAAUCAGUGGCGGCGCCAUCUGGCUCUAAGCGUAGUAAUUCUUCUCGCUAUGGAGUCCUGGUGGAUGCUUGCCAUCAACCCCCAAUUUUUCUAUGGUUGACCUCGGAUCAGGUAGGGAUACCCGCUGAACUUAAGCAUAUCAAUAAGCGGGA
rnacentral:misc_RNA from 1 species